GAAUGCUGACAUAAGUAACGAUAAAGCGGGUGAAAAGCCCGCUCGCCGGAAGACCAAGGGUUCCUGUCCAACGUUAAUCGGGGCAGGGUGAGUCGACCCCUAAGGCGAGGCCGAAAGGCGUAGUCGAUGGGAAACGGGUUAAUAUUCCCGUACUUGGUGUUACUGCGAAGGGGGGACGGAGAAGGCUAUGUUGGCCGGGCGACGGUUGUCCCGGUUUAAGCGUGUAGGUGUGUGUUCCAGGUAAAUCCGGUUCACUUUAACACUGAGGCGUGACGACGAGGCACUACGGUGCUGAAGCAACAAAUGCCCUGCUUCCAGGAAAAGCCUCUAAGCAUCAGGUAACAUCAAAUCGUACCCCAAACCGACACAGGUGGUCAGGUAGAGAAUACCAAGGCGCUUGAGAGAACUCGGGUGAAGGAACUAGGCAAAAUGGUGCCGUAACUUCGGGAGAAGGCACGCUGACACGUAGGUGAAGUGAUUUACUCAUGGAGCUGAAGUCAGUCGAAGAUACCAGCUGGCUGCAACUGU
rnacentral:rRNA from 2 species